rnacentral:rRNA from 1 species
CACGCAGGCGGUCGGAUAAGUCAGAUGUGAAAGCCCCGGGCUCAACCUGGGAACUGCAUUUGAAACUGUCCGACUAGAGUCUUGUAGAGGGGGGUAGAAUUCCAGGUGUAGCGGUGAAAUGCGUAGAGAUCUGGAGGAAUACCGGUGGCGAAGGCGGCCCCCUGGACAGAGACUGACGCUCAGGUGCGAAAGCGUGGGGAGCAAGCA